rnacentral:pre_miRNA from 1 species
GUGGAAGAGAGAGAGUGGUGGAAGGGAGGGAAGCCAGCGUGAGGCAAUGCAUGACAACAGCAUGCCCAGGAGGUCCUGAGGGUGUUGUCCUCAUGCACUGCCUCUUCCCUGGCUUCCCUACAUAGCUCGCCAUUCUUGUGCUCU